GACGAACGCUGGCGGCAGGCCUAACACAUGCAAGUCGAACGAGUGGCGGACGGGUGAGUAAUGUCUGGGAAACUGCCCGAUGGAGGGGGAUAACUACUGGAAACGGUGGCUAAUACCGCAUACUAUCGGAUGUACCCAUAUGGGAUUAGCUAGUAGGUGGGGUAAAGGCUCACCUAGGCGACGAUCCCUAGCUGGUCUGAGAGGAUGAUCAGCCACACUGGGACUGAGACACGGCCCAGACUCCUACGGGAGGCAGCAGUGGGGAAUAUUGCACAAUGGGCGCAAGCCUGAUGCAGCCAUGCCGCGUGUAUGAAGAAGGCCUUCGGGUUGUAAAGUACUUUCAGCGAGGAGGCGUUACUCGCAGAAGAAGCACCGGCUAACUCCGUGCCAGCAGCCGCGGUAAUAC
rnacentral:rRNA from 1 species